UGGGGAAUAUUGCACAAUGGGCGAAAGCCUGAUGCAGCGACGCCGCGUGAGGGAUGACGGCCUUCGGGUUGUAAAACUCUUUUAGUAGGGAAGAAGAGCAAGUGAAGGUACCUGCAGAAGAAGCACCGGCUAACUACGUGCAAGCAGCCGCGGUCAUACGUAGGGUGCGAGCGUUGUCCGGAAUUACUGGGCGUAAAGAGCUCGUAGGCGGUUUGUGACGUCGUCUGUGAAAUCCUAGGGCUUAACACUGGACGUGCAGGCGAUACGGGCUGACUUGAGUACUACAGAGGAGACUGGAAUUUCUGGUGUAGCGGUGGAAUGCACAGAUAUCAGGAAGAACACCGAUGGCGAAGGCAGGUCUCUGGGUAGUAACUGACGCUGAGGAGCGAAAGCAUGGGUAGCGAACAGG
rnacentral:rRNA from 1 species